UACGGAGGGUGCAAGCGUUAUCCGGAUUUAUUGGGUUUAAAGGGUCCGUAGGCGGAUCUGUAAGUCAGUGGUGAAAUCUCACAGCUUAACUGUGAAACUGCCAUUGAUACUGCAGGUCUUGAGUGUUAUUGAAGUAGCUGGAAUAAGUAGUGUAGCGGUGAAAUGCAUAGAUACUACUUAGAACACCAAUUGCGAAGGCAGGUUACUAAGCAACAACUGACGCUGAUGGACGAAAGCGUGGGGAGCGAACAGG
rnacentral:rRNA from 1 species